GGGACAUUAGGGUUAUAUACUGUUAUUGAUCAGUGGUUAGAGGGACAUUAGGGUUAUAUACUGUUAUUGAUUAGAGAGACAUUAGGGUUAUAUACUGUUAUUGAUUAGAGGGACAUUAGGGUUAUAUACUGUUAUUGAUUAGAGGGACAUUAGGGUUAUAUACUGUUAUUGAUUAGAGGGACAUUAGGGUUAUAUACUGUUAUUGAUCAGAGAGACAUUAGGGUUAUAUACUGUUAUUGAUUAGAGGUUAGAGGGACAUUAGGGUUAUAUACUGUUAUUGAUUAGAGGGACAUUAGGGUUAUAUACUGUUAUUGAUUAGAGAGACAUUAGGGUUAUAUACUGUUGUUGAUUAGAGAGACAUUAGGGUUAUAUACUGUUAUUGAUUAGAGGGACAUUAGGGUUAUAUACUGUUAUUGAUUAGAGAGACAUUAGGGUUAUAUACUGUUAUUGAUUAGAGGGACAUUAGGGUUAUAUACUGUUAUUGAUUAGAGAGACAUUAGGGUUAUAUACUGUUAUUGAUUAGAGAGACAUUAGGGUUAUAUACUGUUAUUGAUUAGAGGGACAUUAGGGUUAUAUACUGUUAUUGAUCAGAGAGACAUUAGGGUUAUAUACUGUUAUUGAUUAGAGGUUAGAGAGACAUUAGGGUUAUAUACUGUUAUUGAUCAGAGAGACAUUAGGGUUAUAUACUGUUAUUGAUUAGAGGGACAUUAGGGUUAUAUACUGUUAUUGAUUAGUGGGACAUUAGGGUUAUAUACUGUUAUUGAUUAGAGGGACAUUAGGGUUAUAUACUGUUAUUGAUUAGAGGUUAGAGAGACAUUAGGGUUAUAUACUAUUAUUGAUCAGAGAGACAUUAGGGUUAUAUACUGUUAUUGAUUAGAGGGACAUUAGGGUUAUAUACUGUUAUUGAUUAGAGGGACAUUAGGGUUAUAUACUGUUAUUGAUUAGAGGUUAGAGAGACAUUAGGGUUAUAUACUGUUAUUGAUUAGAGAGACAUUAGGGUUAUAUACUGUUAUUGAUCAGAGAGACAUUAGGGUUAUAUACUGUUAUUGAUUAGAGGUUAGAGAGACAUUAGGGUUAUAUACUGUUAUUGAUCAGUGGGACAUUAGGGUUAUAUACUGUUAUUGAUCAGAGAGACAUUAGGGUUAUAUACUGUUAUUGAUUAGAGAGACAUUAGGGUUAUAUACUGUUAUUGAUCAGAGAGACAUUAGGGUUAUAUACUGUUAUUGAUUAGAGGACAUUAGGGUUAUAUACUGUUAUUGAUUAGAG
rnacentral:lncRNA from 1 species